UAAUUGAAGAGUUUGAUCAUGGCUCAGAUUGAACGCUGGCGGCAGGCCUAACACAUGCAAGUCGAGCGGCAGCACAGAGGAACUUGUUCCUUGGGUGGCGAGCGGCGGACGGGUGAGUAAUCCCUGGGAAAUUGCCCGGUAGAGGGGGAUAACCAUUGGAAACGA
rnacentral:rRNA from 1 species